UACAAAGUGAGCUCAAGGCCAGCCUGAACUGCUUAGCGAGACCCUGUCUCAAAAAGACAGAAAUAGAUGCGAUGAAAAUGCAUCAUUUGACUGCUGAUGGAGGUGCAAAAAUAGUUCAGCUCAUCCUGAGCAAAUGUGUUGGGACCAGGCGCAUGUCAUAUGUGUCCAAAACAAAAGCCAGCAAGCCUCAGCUUGGCCUCACAUCUUAUACACAUUUUCUCUAAAUGGAUUACAGCUCUGAUGUAGGUUUAAAAAUUGUAAUUCUGUCAGUCUUUCUGGGUUAGGCAAAAAGUUCUUAGGACAGCAAGAACAUGAUUUAUAAAAUCAAAAGUUGAAAAAUGGGACCUGAUCAAAAUUUAAAACUUUUGCUGUGGCAAAAAUGCUGCUAAGAGAAUGAAAAGACAAACUGCACGCCGGAGGAGGUGCUGGAGGGUCACGUGGCCCUUUGAGGAGUUGUGUCUAGGUUAGAACAAGAUUCUUCAAAGCUCAGUAAUGAGAAAAACCAGCUCUGCAGUGACAAACAGACAAAGGAGGUGGACAGUGCUGCAUCCACCCAAGAGGACCCACAGGCAGCAAAAUGCCGAGGAGGAGACGCGCUCAGCACCACUGGCCAUCAGAGAAAUGCAGGUGAAACUCGGGAUGAAGCCACCGUCAGGACAGCUGAAGCGAGGGACAGUGGCCGCACCUAGGGCCCGGUGCUGCUCAGCCGGGAUGCACCUGCGCUGCCACCCGGCACAAACUCUGUCACUUCCUCACACUGCAUGUGAGCUAGCAGGGCCACAGACUCCUGCUUGUCACCCCACAGAAGAGAGAACUGAAGCUCACACAAGCUCGUGUCAGGCCCUGCGAGAGUCUCAUCUUGACCAUGGUGCCUUACUCACGACUGUCAGGAACCGGAAGCAACCUCAGGGAUUCUCAGCCGAGGGGUGGCGAGAAGCGAUAGCGCCAUGCGGCGCUGUGACGGGGCAGCGGAAGGAGAGAGUAUGGGUCCACGGCAGAACUGGCGUGAUUUCCAGCUGCACGUGCCGAGCGAGUGAUGCUGCCCUCGGAGGGCUGAAACAGUAUGGUUCACCUACGUGGGCUUUUCAAUAGCACCCAGCCCUGGUGGAGGGGACCAAGGCAGUGAUGGCCUCGGCUCGGGUGUGGCCUUGGGCACAGUGCAGCAGAGGGAGCGAGAGGAGGGCCGGGUGGUCUCGGAGCGCUCUGCUGUGGAUCGUGGCGGUGCUCACACACUCACGGUGGGAAAUGUGUGGGUCUGUAUGGCAGGAGCAGUCCGUUCUACUGUCGGAUAAUUUGUCAAAUAAAAGCUUUGAAAUGCAUUGGUCAGGAUGCUUUAAGACCUUGGUUUCCUAUGCCUCAGAACAAACCCAAUUAAAAAUAUUGCAUAAAACAA